ACUCUAGAGAUAGAGCUUUCCCCUUCGGGGGACAAAGUGACAGGUGGUGCAUGGUUGUCGUCAGCUCGUGUCGUGAGAUGUUGGGUUAAGUCCCGCAACGAGCGCAACCCUUAAGCCUAGUUGCCAUCAUUAAGUUGGGCACUCUAGGUUGACUGCCGGUGACAAACCGGAGGAAGGUGGGGAUGACGUCAAAUCAUCAUGCCCCUUAUGAUUUGGGCUACACACGUGCUACAAUGGACAAUACAAAGGGCAGCUAAACCGCGAGGUCAUGCAAAUCCCAUAAAGUUGUUCUCAGUUCGGAUUGUAGUCUGCAACUCGACUACAUGAAGCUGGAAUCGCUAGUAAUCGUAGAUCAGCAUGCUACGGUGAAUACGUUCCCGGGUCUUGUACACACCGCCCGUCACACCACGAGAGUUUGUAACACCCGAAGCCGGUGGAGUAACCAUUUAUGGAGCUAGCCGUCGAAGGUGGGACAAAUGAUUGGGGUGAAGUCGUAACAAGGUAGCCGUAUCGGAAGGUGCGGCUGGAUCACCUC
rnacentral:rRNA from 1 species